rnacentral:lncRNA from 1 species
CUUGGACAAAACAUUUAUUUAGGAUAUUUCAGUAAGAAGCCAAUAUGGGUCUUUCAGCUUAUGUAAAUAUCUCUCUUAUCUGCUGACAAAGAAUGAAACAAAGACCAUCUGAGGCAAAAGAAACACAAGUAAAAACCACUGAAGCUGGUUACUAACUUGUCAGGCAAGGGAGCACAACCAGUGUUUCCCCUUGUAGGGGGAAGUCAGGGUUGUUUAAGGGCUAGAAAGGAGACACUGGUGAUGGUUAUGCUAAGCACUGAAAACUAGUGCUCCAGAUAGAAAGGAACUGGUUAAAACAAUCCUCACUCUUCACAGGGGUUAGAAAACAGUCUUCUGUUUGGUCCAAUGUGGGUCUGGUAUCUGGGGUCCUUCACAGUGCAAGGUUCUUAAACAUCUGCAGUUGGUUAGAACUGUCGUAGUGAAAACAAGCAUUCCUUUUUGAUACCUCAUAGGCAAGUGCUGUUAAGUAGAACAUUUCCUUUUACACUGCAUGACACUUAACGCAAAUAUUUCCACACUGGGUCGGACCAAGGGUUCACAGUGAUAGAGUCACACAAGUACAGUGACAGCCCCUCACUCCAGACAUUGAUAAGAGCACGUUAAAUAUCACUAUGGUUUUGUGAGCCGGAGAAAUGUCACUCUCACUACACUACAUUCUGUCUUCUUUCCAUCCUUGUUCCAUUCACCCUCUGUAGGUGACCAGUCUCUUUCAUUUCUGGUUUAUCCUUACUGCAUUUCUUUUGCACAAAUGUGCAGAUACAUGUACACUUUCUCAUGUCCUCUUCUUUCUUCUAUGAAGAGCUGUUUACUGUAGACACUCUUGGGCUUUGCUUACUUCACUGAACACUAUGUCCUGGAAUUCACUCCAUAUUCAUUCAUACAGCUCUUCCUCAAUUCUUUUUUAUAACUGCACACUGCUUCAUCUUAUUGAUGUGCCAUGAUUUAUUCAACCACUAAAUACUGGACGUUUAGGUGUUUCCAAUAUUUUGCAAUGAGAAACAAUGCUGCAAUGAAUAACCUUGUGCAUAUGUGUUUUAUUAUCAUCAGAAGUGCGUUUUCGGAGUGGAUCCCUAGAAGUGGGAUUGCUGGGUCAAAAGAUUUGUAGGAGCAUUGUGACCUGACCAAGCACAAAAAAGUUCCCAACCUCAUUGGAUCCUUGCUCCCAGAUGUCUGCGGUAGUCCAUUAUCUCUUGAUCCUACCCACCUCCUCUUCCUCCUGCCCUGAAUGUAGAAAGAGCCUAAAAUUUGUA